CCCAGAUAUCUGUUGGUGUGUUCCAGACAUUUUCAUUCGGGCAAACCAGCCUAUGAAAUGGAUGAAACAAAUCCUGACUGGGUUCCAACGCUAUACAUGGGGCACUCCGAAAUCCCUGCUUCAAACUUGGACCGUCACAGACGACGAAUGCGACGGAAGCAGCAAAGAGCAGCAGUCGGAGGCUUUAGUAAUGGAGGAGCAGAGUGUGAAGGUGAGGCCUGCAUAGACGUUACAUGAAGAGCUGCCAGAGAUGGACAUGACAGAAGACCGACACCUUAAUCACCACGUGAUGGAGGCUGUGGCCAAGAGUGGAGGCUGAGGUAGUAGCAACAAAUGUAGAAAAUGGAGAUGGGACAGAGAGAGAUGCAGAAGCUAAAAGACAGCCGAUGGAUUGUGUGUGUGCUGUGAACAGAGCAGAAAUAAACCAGCUGUUGGAGGAGAACAGAACGCUUGAAUCACAGUUGAAAAAGACAGCUGAAUGAAAAAUGUUUUAAAGGAUGACACCAAAAAAGUAAAAUAUUAUACUGGAAUACCUUGUUUUGCUAUUUUACUCUCCUUAUUCAACAAUGUAAAAGCUUUCCUGCCAGCAUCAAAGAAACCGUGGCAUUUCCAAAUGCUUUUACUCACUCUUCCGCCUUACAUUUGAUCUUCCUGUCCAGCAUCUUUGUGUGCAGAGGUUAAGAUCCCCGCAUUUACAAAAGGCUUCUGUCAACUUGAUGCCAAGGACAUUGAAGAUACAAGAGCUAUUGCCCACCUAAUAAUUCAUGUCGAGCGAGUUGUAGGUAGUUUACGCAACAGGUAUAAAAUGCUGCAUACCACCAUGCCAAUCAGAUUACUUCUUUAAUGUCAGGGUGAAGAGGAGGCCCUUCAGGAUAAGAUAGUAAAGGUUUGCUGCGUUUUGGUGAACAUGUGCCCCAUUGUGGUAGUAAAACCAAGGGAAAAUGAAACUUGCUCUUAAGUACUAUUAAAAGUCUUGUGCUGUGUAUAUGUAGUUAUAAUUUUUCAAAAGAUACAGUAAAUUUACAGAAUGUUAGUGAGUGUUAUUAUGUAAAUGCUGUCAAUAUUUUAUGUAAAAAAAUUUGUCAGUUGUAAACCAUAAACGACAUUGAUUCUACAUUG